GGUUCCUUAGCUCAGUCGGUUAGAGCGUCGUGCUAAUAUGUUAAGAAUUUCUUAGCUGUUACGCGAAGGUCGCGAGUUCGACCCUCGUAGGAACCA